UAGAGUUUGAUCAUGGCUCAGAUUGAACGCUGGCGGCAGGCCUAACACAUGCAAGUCGAGCGGAAACGAGAAUAGCUUGCUAUUCGGCGUCGAGCGGCGGACGGGUGAGUAAUGCCUGGGAAAUUGCCCUGAUGUGGGGGAUAACCAUUGGAAACGAUGGCUAAUACCGCAUAAUAGCUUCGGCUUAAAGAGGGGGACCUUCGGGCCUCUCGCUUCAGGAUAUGCCCAGGUGGGAUUAGCUAGUUGGUGAGGUAAAGGCUCACCAAGGCGACGAUCCCUAGCUGGUCUGAGAGGAUGAUCAGCCACACUGGAACUGAGACACGGUCCAGACUCCUACGGGAGGCAGCAGUGGGGAAUAUUGCACAAUGGGCGCAAGCCUGAUGCAGCCAUGCCGCGUGUAUGAAGAAGGCCUUCGGGUUGUAAAGUACUUUCAGCAGUGAGGAAGGGUGUGUAGUUAAUAGCUGCAUACUUUGACGUUAGCUGCAGAAGAAGCACCGGCUAACUCCGUGCCAGCAGCCGCAGUAAUACGGAGGGUGCGAGCGUUAAUCGGAAUUACUGGGCGUAAAGCGCAUGCAGGUGGUUUGUUAAGUCAGAUGUGAAAGCCCGGGGCUCAACCUCGGAACCGCAUUUGAAACUGGCAGGCUAGAGUACUGUAGAGGGGGGUAGAAUUUCA
rnacentral:rRNA from 1 species